CUGAAUGUUGUUGUUAGUGUUUGGUGGUGGCGGUGGAGGGCAAGCAAAGCCAGCGGCAAAGAUGGAGGAGAAGAGGAAAAGGAGGAGGUGGUUGUGGUUAUGAAGGGCUGCAGUGGCAGGGACAGCCGGUUAUAGUUUCCCUUUGAGGGGUGGGAGGGAAGAGGGAGAGAGAUACAUCUGGGACAGGCUGGGCCCAGUAAUUGCAGCUUUCCAUCCUGCACGAACAUCUGCAAGAAAAAGCAGCAGCAGCAACGCGCCAUUUUCCCGAUCUUCUGGCAGGGUUCCCUAGAAGGAUUUCCCCUUUUGCCACAAGGGAUGUCUCAGCAGUGUUGGCAGAACGGCAUCUGACUAUCUCCGCCGUCAGCCCCCACCCCCUACGUGAACGCUCCUGUAGGCCUAACGUAGCUCUGCAGACAGCUGUUUUCUCCUUUUUCCUGAUCUUUCAUUGAUCAGCCACCUACCAACAAGGACAACAUGAACUCCAAGAAUGAGUCCGCAGGAUCCCAGGGCAGGACUAGCUUGUGUACCUCUGCUUGUGCUACCACUUAUGCAACAAACUCAAUACUACUUUGUGCUAUUUCCAUUGUGUCUUAAGUAUUCCAUUAGAAAUAGCAAUAUGCAACUGAUGUAUCUUCUAGGAGUAAUUCAACAGCAAUCUCUUGCUGGUCAAAUGUUAUUAAUUAUCAUUGUCAUCAUUGCCUUCUACACAUGUGUCUCAAGGUGAUGAACAAUAAAGCCUGUUAAACAACAUGGAAAGCAGGAGAUUAAUUUGUCUGCCUGUUCUCCU